UACGUAGGGGGGCGAGCGUUGUCCGGAUUUAUUGGGCGUAAAGAGCGUGUAGGCGGCCAGGUAGGUCCGUUGUGAAAACUCGAGGCUCAACCUCGAGACGUCGGCGGAAACCCUCUGGCUAGAGUCCGGAAGAGGAGAGUGGAAUUCCUGGUGUAGCGGUGAAAUGCGCAGAUAUCAGGAGGAACACCAAUUGCGAAGGCAGCUCGCUGGGACGUUACUGACGCUGAGACGCGAAAGCGUGGGGAGCGAACAGG
rnacentral:rRNA from 1 species